GGGUGAGUAAUAUAUCGGAACGUACCCAAGAGUGGGGGAUAACGUAGCGAAAGUUACGCUAAUACCGCAUACGAUCCAAGGAUGAAAGCAGGGGACCGCAAGGCCUUGUGCUCCUGGAGCGGCCGAUAUCUGAUUAGCUAGUUGGUAGGGUAAAGGCCUACCAAGGCAUCGAUCAGUAGCUGGUCUGAGAGGACGACCAGCCACACUGGAACUGAGACACGGUCCAGACUCCUACGGGAGGCAGCAGUGGGGAAUUUUGGACAAUGGGCGCAAGCCUGAUCCAGCAAUGCCGCGUGAGUGAAGAAGGCCUUCGGGUUGUAAAGCUCUUUUGUCAGGGAAGAAACGGGUGCGGCUAAUAUCUGCAUCUAAUGACGGUACCUGAAGAAUAAGCACCGGCUAACUACGUGCCAGCAGCCGCGGUAAUACGUAGGGUGCAAGCGUUAAUCGGAAUUACUGGGCGUAAAGCGUGCGCAGGCGGUUUUGUAAGUCUGUCGUGAAAUCCCCGGGCUCAACCUGGGAAUGGCGAUGGAGACUGCAAGGCUAGAAUCUGGCAGAGGGGGGUAGAAUUCCACGUGUAGCA
rnacentral:rRNA from 1 species